UUGAGAAGAACGUGUUGCUCAGUUGCUAUUUUCAUUAAACAGUGGUUAAACCUCGCUGUGUUGCAUGGAGUGUGGAUGAUAAAGUUUCUUUUUUAGGUUACUAUGGAUGCUCCGAAACAACAGAGGUGGUUAAAUGGUGGUAGUAACCUUGCCCGUGGACGCCGAGCUCCUUAUAAUUAGUUUGCAUCGCUCGUCAUGGUAAACCCGACUCGUAUCAUUUUCACCAAGAUCAUUCCUUACGUUCAAAUUGACUAUUCUAGAAACUCACGAGAUGUGGAGACAAAGAAAAGAGCUUAGCAGCGAUAUGUGCAACUUAUUAAACAACGGAGACAGGAACAAUUACUUGUGCUUCUUCAUGUUCGGUUUACUACAACGCCGUAACAAAUCUUAUGGGUGCUGAAGCCACGAUUCGGCUAACUGCAGAAUAACCUGCUACUCAGUUACAUGUCAUUGAAUAAUAAUAGAUUCUAUUGUGCUAUGCCUCGUUCUUGAAAGCCACACGACACAUGUAAAUGAGGUGGAUCAAAGUGGCAGGGCAUUCCGCAAUUACUCCGAGAAAUCUGUACAGGCGACCAAGGUCAAGAUUCUCUAACACGGAUUGACCUUACUCUAAAUGAUGAUAUUGCCAAAUAAAGAG